CGGCGGCGGGCGGGGCCGGGCGGGGCCGGGCGGCGGCGGCGGGCGGAGUGACGCGCCCCGGCCCCGCCCCGCUCACCUCCCGCCCCGCCCCUGCCGCCGCUCCCGCCUGGCAGCCGCGGCGCCCGGCAGCGCCUCUCCUGCGUGCGCUCCCUCCGCUUGGUACGGCCCACCCCGCCGGGGAUCAUGGCGAUUGAUGGUGGAGAACGAACUUGUGGUGUACAUGAACUGAUCUGCAUCAGAAAAGGUAAGCAAUAAUUUGUGACAGUGAACUCCUUAGCUUGUGAAUAUUCCUGGUGAGAAAUCU
rnacentral:lncRNA from 1 species